GGCGUGAUCGAUCAACUCAGGCUCAGGCAUCUUGAGAGCCUCAGGCAUCCAAUUCAAGAACUUCAAGUACGCCCUGAAGUCCAAGUUCACAAAGCGCUGCACAAAGGCGCCACCGCGAGAAGGGCUGCUCCUCAGCCCCUUGAGGUACCAUUUGGAGAAGUAGACUCUGUCGUUAAAGGGCUGGAGCCUCAGAACCGCAAAGAUUAUGAAGAAAAUGAAUGCACUGAGGAUGUUAAUCCCAGCUGAUACACCAAUAUCCGAAAGUGUUGCCAUUUAUUAUAUUGCCCAAGGACUUAACCUGUAAACAAUACAAAGAAGCAGCAAACUUGUUAUUGCCAAAGUUAAAAGAUUGAAACUUUAUGAUAAAGAACGUUCAUUUUCAAAGCUUAACCAAAUCAAAAAAUCUUGGGGCUAACUUCAGAUCUGAAUCUAAGGGGAAAUGCUAAUUAUAAACCCAGAAAGGACAAGUCUUUUGGAGCAAACCUCACAACAAAGUUCCAAAAACAGUUCGAAUCUUUCUAGAGAACCUUUGAAAGGGACAAUGCACAACAGCUCAGAGAAUCAAAAAAAAGGUUUUCUUUUUCGUUAGUUAUCCCUCAAGUUUACUCCACAGAAGCAAUGAGAUCCAGAGACAAGAGUAAAUACAAAAGAAAGAAGGAAGAAGAGAGAGAGGGAGAGAGAAACCCAAGAGAAGAGGAGUGGAAUAAGACAGUGUUUCAUCCAAAGCUAAGAACUUUCUUUUUUCUCUCUACCCUCUUCAGUGAGUUACUCACACGCAAACACAAACACACAAACCAAACCCUCUGAAAAAAGUAUAUAGAGAAGAUUUAUAAAGUUAAAGCAAACAAAAAUAGAAUCGUUUUUUUUCAGGAAAUGUCUAUUAUAUUUUUAUAAUACUGUUUCGAGACAAUGCAGUUACGUAGGGGUAAAAGUAAGGGAGUGAGAGAUGAAAGAGAUCGUUACAGUCGCGUGGAAGAAGAAGAAGAAGAAGAGGAAGACGGCCAGGGUUUUUGUCGUGAUGCUCCACUGGCUUACCAAAAGUAUCCAUAUAAAAUAUUUUUCAUAAUUUUUUAUAUUCUAUAGUACCGUUGGAUUAUUUAGUAUUGUGAAAGGCUACUACGUUCGUUUCACCUAAUUAACUAAAAACAAAUUAAGAGACGGUCAAUUAAACAAUUUCUAAAGUUGUUUUCCGAAUCUUCCUUUGUUUUUUAGCUUUGCUUAAACAAAGUGUGAGAUGAUCUUUGACGCAACCGACAACAUGUGUAUUUGUAUUGUUUAUUUGAUCAGGCUGCUAAUUGUUGAACGUUACAUAUAUGUUUAGGUAGAAAAAUGUCAUCCAUUUACCUUUGAAGUUACUAUUUCCCUUUUUUUUUAUAUAAAUAAUAUUUCCAUCUCAUGUAGAAUUGAUAAAAUGAAUAGCUUAGUUAGUGGGUUGGAAUUGGCCUUUAAAGGAUCAAAAUAGAUGCUAUGUCGUUUGGAAUCCAAAAACAAAUGCUGUAAAACCCUAUCAAUACACCAUCUUUGGAUUCCAAACGAUUGAGCAUUUAUUUUGAACUUUAAGAUUCCAUCCAAACCACUAACUAAACUAUUCAUUUUGACCUUAAGACACCAUGAUGCAUCGACUUGGCAAGUCAUAAUAUAUCGGAGGUAUAAAAGAAGAGCUUCAUCAACACCAAGAACUGGCGUUUAUCUCGACAUCAUCCUUUCUUAUGUUGCCCUUUCUUUGAGAUUAUCUAGUUGAAAUGUGUGAACCGGUGAAAUAUAUUUUCACUGAAUAAUUAUCGUUCAUUACUUUUUAAAUGUAUAAAAUGAUCCAAAAGAACUUGUUGAAUUAUGGUUUCAGGAUACUAUCUCUUUUCUCUUCCAAAAUAUGAACUUUGUAUUCUAGUAUAUGGAUACACUUUUCUUACUGUUUUAGGAGUCUUUUCUAUUAUUUGUGUUAAUCACUAACCUAUAAGAAAUUAUAAGAAUUUCUUAUAGUUAAAGCUUUUAAACCCGAUAUUAACAUGAAACUAAAUAUUAAAAUUCGAAUGAUUUAUGUUCUCUCAUUCCAGCUUCCUCUAUGAAUAAAUCUACUUCACAUUGUAUAGUGAUUGAUUUAAAUCCACUUUGCACAUUGUUGAUCAAAAACAGCAUUUUGUUCACUAAACAAUACUACAAGUGUUAUUAACUUAUAUUGUUGUGUAAAUAGUUUCACCAAAUCUGCUAGCUUGUUUGCAUUGCAUACAACCUACAUAUUGUUUCCACAAAAGGUAAGAAGAACCCAUCAAGGUACUUAACAGAUUCAAAUUACAAACUUCUGAGAGAUUUACCUGAUUAGUCAGGUAGUGAUCAGGGUGAUUGACAAGGAAGAAAUGCUCCACAAGUUCACUAACAGACUCAUCUGCAUCCGGAGGUACAUUUCUGACAAGAACCUAUCAUAAAUCUCAACAUAUUAGAUUCCAACUUUGUUCGGUUUUUCGAAAUUUAAACCAAGGGGGGAAGAGAAAAGAGUGUUUACAGUGAACUGGUCAGGUCGGCGAGCUUCUGAUGCAACAAACUGAAGCCUCAUGUUAGCAACCGUCUCAUAUUCUUUCAUCAACACAUAACAAGUCCAGAUGGUAAAUGCAUAUGCCAUCACUAUAUGUGUCCAAAACCUGGUAAAAAAAAAAAAACAACAAAAAAGUCAAGAGACAAUGCAGCUCAAAACCCAACCUUUAUAAACAGAUGGUAAAGGUCUGAACCCACCUCAUUGAAUACUCUGGGAUAUUCGAAACAGACAGUUUAUCAAUAUCACUCGACGUUACAUUCCUUAGCUGCCUAGCCAACUCCAACGUGUUGUUCGUCCAGUUAACCGGCACAAGAACAGCCCAAGCAAGCGCUGCUAUUGGAACAAAGAUCUUAAGCCUGCACACACAAAUCGACAACACAACAGAAUCAAGAAGAGAAGGAGAAACUAAGUACUAAAACCAACAAAGUUCAAGACUUUUUACCCUAGCCAGUAAAUCCUGAGAUACACAACAGAAUCCAAACCGGCGUGAUCGAUCAACUCAGGCUCAGGCAUCUUGAGAGCCUCAGGCAUCCAAUUCAAGAACUUCAAGUACGCCCUGAAGUCCAAGUUCACAAAGCGCUGCACAAAGGCGCCACCGCGAGAAGGGCUGCUCCUCAGCCCCUUGAGGUACCAUUUGGAGAAGUAGACUCUGUCGUUAAAGGGCUGGAGCCUCAGAACCGCAAAGAUUAUGAAGAAAAUGAAUGCACUGAGGAUGUUAAUCCCAGCUGAUACACCAAUAUCCGAAAGUGUUGCCAUUUAUUAUAUUGCCCAA
rnacentral:lncRNA from 1 species